AGGACGAACGCUGGCGGCGUGCUUAACACAUGCAAGUCGAGCGGAAAGGCCCUUCGGGGUACUCGAGCGGCGAACGGGUGAGUAACACGUGGGCAACCUGCCCCUAGCUCUGGGAUAACUCCGGGAAACCGGUGCUAAUACCGGAUACGACCUCAUUGGGCAUUCUUUGAGGUGGAAAGAUUUAUUGGCUAGGGAUGGGCCCGCGGCCUAUCAGCUUGUUGGUGGGGUAACGGCCUACCAAGGCGACGACGGGU
rnacentral:rRNA from 1 species